UAGGGAAUCUUCGGCAAUGGGGGCAACCCUGACCGAGCAACGCCGCGUGAGUGAAGAAGGUUUUCGGAUCGUAAAGCUCUGUUGUAAGAGAAGAACGUGUGUGAGAGUGGAAAGUUCACACAGUGACGGUAACUUACCAGAAAGGGACGGCUAACUACGUGCCAGCAGCCGCGGUAAUACGUAGGUCCCGAGCGUUGUCCGGAUUUAUUGGGCGUAAAGCGAGCGCAGGCGGUUUAAUAAGUCUGAAGUUAAAGGCAGUGGCUUAACCAUUGUUCGCUUUGGAAACUGUUAAACUUGAGUGCAGAAGGGGAGAGUGGAAUUCCAUGUGUAGCGGUGAAAUGCGUAGAUAUAUGGAGGAACACCGGUGGCGAAAGCGGCUCUCUGGUCUGUAACUGACGCUGAGGCUCGAAAGCGUGGGGAGCAAACAGGAUUAGAUACCC
rnacentral:rRNA from 1 species